GUUAGUGUGCAAACUCCUCAUAAACGGCUCAACUGGCCAAUAUUAUGAGUUCUUUUCUGUUUUUCCUACGAGAGUUAUCAAGUAGGCGUAGCCAUUUUUUCAACACGAAUAAUGUUGAAAACUUCUCAAAACAAAAAAGUUUUAACGAAUAAAUCAAUCAAAGUAGGUACACAUGACGAUUUAUUUGUGCAAUUUUAUUAAUUAAAGCGUAAAGUGAGUGAUAAAUAAGUAAAAAGCAAGUGUGUGAAUAAUUAAAAAAUGCUAUUUAGUCAUUUGCGACUCGGUGGUACAUGUGGAAUCGGCGCUUUACACGGAAGUACCAGGUAUUAAAUCCCAAUCGUCAAGGAAAGCCAGAAAUACCUCCUGAAGUGCCAAAAAAGGAGAAGAAGUGCCAUAACAGAAGCAGAAGAAAUUGCUUUGAUUGGAAAUAUCUUGAGGAUUGAGAAUGGCAAUAAUUUAAGGAUUUUUAAUUAAUCAACGAUAUCUAAUCGCCACUCUAAUAAUACCACACGAAUCAAGAUUGAACACUCAAAA